rnacentral:rRNA from 1 species
UGCAGUCGAGCGGAACGAGUUAACUGAACCUUCGGGGAACGUUAACGGCGUCGAGCGGCGGACGGGUGAGUAAUGCCUGGGAAAUUGCCCUGAUGUGGGGGAUAACCAUUGGAAACGAUGGCUAAUACCGCAUAAUAGCUUCGGCUCAAAGAGGGGGACCUUCGGGCCUCUCGCGUCAGGAUAUGCCCAGGUGGGAUUAGCUAGUUGGUGAGGUAAUGGCUCACCAAGGCGACGAUCCCUAGCUGGUCUGAGAGGAUGAUCAGCCACACUGGAACUGAGACACGGUCCAGACUCCUACGGGAGGCAGCAGUGGGGAAUAUUGCACAAUGGGCGCAAGCCUGAUGCAGCCAUGCCGCGUGUAUGAAGAAGGCCUUCGGGUUGUAAAGUACUUUCAGCAGUGAGGAAGGCGGAGUCGUUAAUAGCGGCCUCGUUUGACGUUAGCUGCAGAAGAAGCACCGGCUAACUCCGUGCCAGCAGCCGCGGUAAUACGGAGGGUGCGAGCGUUAAUCGGAAUUACUGGGCGUAAAGCGCAUGCAGGGGUUUGUUAAGUCAGAUGUGAAAGCCCGGGGCUCAACCUCGGAAUUGCAUUUGAAACUGGCAGACUAGAGUACUGUAGAGGGGGGUAGAAUUUCAGGUGUAGCGGUGAAAUGCGUAGAGAUCUGAAGGAAUACCGGGUGGGCGAAGGCGGCCCCCUGGACAGAUACUGACAUAUCAUAUGCGAAAGGCGUGGGGGAGCAAACAGGAUUAGAUACCCCUGGUAGUCCACGCCGUAAACGAUGUCUACUUGGGAGGUUUGUGGCCCUUGAGCCG